GACGGAGGGUGCAAGCGUUAUCCGGAUUCACUGGGUUUAAAGGGUGCGUAGGCGGGCAGGUAAGUCAGUGGUGAAAUCUCCGAGCUUAACUCGGAAACUGCCAUUGAUACUAUUUGUCUUGAAUAUUGUGGAGGUAAGCGGAAUAUGUCAUGUAGCGGUGAAAUGCUUAGAUAUGACAUAGAACACCAAUUGCGAAGGCAGCUUACUACACAAUGAUUGACGCUGAGGCACGAAAGCGUGGGGAUCAAACAGG
rnacentral:rRNA from 1 species